rnacentral:rRNA from 1 species
CCUCCCUUUUCCCGCUUUCCUCGGAAUCACUGGGCGUAAAGCGCACGUAGGCGGACUCGUAGGUCAAUUGUGAAAUACCUGGGCUCAACCCGGGAACUGCAGUUGAAACCGCUUGUCUUGAAUACCUGAGAGGGUGGGGGAAUACCUGGUGGAGAAGUGAAAUUCGUAGAGAUCAGGUGGAACACCGGAGGCGAAGGCGCCUGCCUGGCAGUGUAUUGACGCUGAGGUGCGAAAGUGCGGGGAGCAAACAGGA